rnacentral:rRNA from 1 species
CUCCUACGGGAGGCAGCAGUGAGGAAUUUUCCGCAAUGGGGGAAACCCUGACGGAGCAACGCCGCGUGCAGGAGGAAGGUCUUCGGAUCGUAAACUGCUUUUACUAGGGAAGAGCAAGGACGGUACCUGGUGAAUAAGCCCCGGCUAACUUCGUGCCAGCAGCCGCGGUAAU